rnacentral:rRNA from 1 species
AUACGGAGGAUCCGAGCGUUAUCCGGAUUUAUUGGGUUUAAAGGGUGCGCAGGCGGCCAUUUAAGUCAGCGGUUAAAUCGUGGGGCUCAACCCCAUUCUGCCGUUGAUACUGGGUGGCUUGAUUGCGGUCGAGGUUGGCGGAAUCCGUUGUGUAGCGGUGAAAUGCAUAGAUAUGACGAAGAACACCGAUUGCGUAGGCAGCUGACCAGAUCGCAAAUGACGCUCAUGCACGAAAGUGCGGGGAUCGAACAGGAUUAGAUACCCUGGUAGUCCGCACAGUAAACGAUGGACACCCGCGGUUUGGCCUGUAUGGCUGAGCCGCCAAGCGAAAGCGUUAAGUGUCCCACCUGGGGAGUACGCCGGCAACGGUGAAACUCAAAUGAAUUGGCGGGG